rnacentral:rRNA from 2 species
UACGUAGGUAGCGAGCGUUGUCCGGAAUUACUGGGUGUAAAGGGAGCGUAGGCGGGAAGACAAGUUGAAUGUUUAAACUACCGGCUUAACCGGUAAUCGCGUUCAAAACUGUUUUUCUUGAGUGAAGUAGAGGCAGGCGGAAUUCCUAGUGUAGCGGUGAAAUGCGUAGAUAUUAGGAGGAACACCAGUGGCGAAGGCGGCCUGCUGGGCUUUAACUGACGCUGAGGCUCGAAAGCGUGGGUAGCAAACAGG